rnacentral:pre_miRNA from 1 species
AGUGGAAUUACUGAGUCAUAUGGUAGGUCUAAGUUUAACUUUGUAAGAAAUUGCUAAAAUAUUUUCCUAAAUAGUUGUACCAUUUGCACUCUCAGUGGCAAU